rnacentral:rRNA from 1 species
AAACUUUCAGCAAUGGAUGUCUUG